rnacentral:rRNA from 1 species
CCGCCUGGGGAGUACGGCCGCAAGGUUAAAACUCAAAUGAAUUGACGGGGGCCCGCACAAGCGGUGGAGCAUGUGGUUUAAUUCGAUGCAACGCGAAGAACCUUACCUGGUCUUGACAUCCACGGAAGUUUUCAGAGAUGAGAAUGUGCCUUCGGGAACCGUGAGACAGGUGCUGCAUGGCUGUCGUCAGCUCGUGUUGUGAAAUGUUGGGUUAAGUCCCGCAACGAGCGCAACCCUUAUCCUUUGUUGCCAGCGGUCCGGCCGGGAACUCAAAGGAGACUGCCAGUGAUAAACUGGAGGAAGGUGGGGAUGACGUCAAGUCAUCAUGGCCCUUACGACCAGGGCUACACACGUGCUACAAUGGCGCAUACAAAGAGAAGCGACCUCGC